ACAAUGAGCAUUCUCUUCAGAUCGUAUAAAUCUUUUGCCUUUUUUUUUUAAACUAAAUAUUUCCCUGGAGAGGAACAUUUAUGAGUUUCUACCCAAUUUUGUGAGGCUGUUACCUAUUGUUGUGGA
rnacentral:snRNA from 1 species